UUGUCCACGUUGGCCGUGGACAGGCAGCUGCGCUUGUCUGUGAUAACCUUGUGCGAAUCGCUCGUCCCCGUGCCCUAUCAACUUUCGAUGCAAUUUUCUGCACCUACCAUGGUGACCACAGGUAAUGGGGAAUCAGGGUUCGAUUCCAGAGAGAGAGCCUGAGAAACGGCUACCACAUGCUAGGAAGGCAGCAGGCGAGCAAAUUACCCACUCCCGACGUGGGGAGGUAGUGACGACAAAUAACAAUACACUACUCUUUCGAGGCCCUGUCAUUGUAAAGAGUCCACUUUAAAUCCUUUAACUUGGUUCAAUUGGAGGGCAAGUCUGGUGCAGAGUGACUGACCCGUGCGUGCUGCAGCUGAAA